rnacentral:rRNA from 1 species
GACUCCCAAACCAUUGUGAACAUACCCGUCAGCGUUGCUUCGGCGGGCGUCCCCUCCCUGGGGACGCUGCCCUUCGGGGUGCCCGCCGGUGGCUUACGAAACUCUUUUGUAUUUUAGUGGCCUCUCUGAGAAAACAAACAAAUAAGUUAAAACUUUCAACAACGGAUCUCUUGGUUCUGGCAUCGAUGAAGAACGCAGCGAAAUGCGAUAAGUAAUGUGAAUUGCAGAAUUCAGUGAAUCAUCGAAUCUUUGAACGCACAUUGCGCCCGCCAGUAUUCUGGCGGGCAUGCCUGUUCGAGCGUCAUUUCAACCCUCAAGCCCUGCUUGGUGUUGGGGUCCUACGGCUGCCGUAGGCCCUGAAAGCUAGUGGCGGGCUCGCUACAACUCCGAGCGCAGUAAUAUAUCUCGCUAGGGAAGUGUUGCGGGUUCCGGCCGUUAAACCCCCCAAUUUUACAAGGUUGACCUCGGAUCAGGUAGGAAUACCCGCUGAACUUAAGCAUAUC